rnacentral:rRNA from 1 species
CCGCGCGCGGCGGGCGUUGCGGGGGCACGGGGGGCCUACGGGAGGCAGCAGUGGGGAAUAUUGCACAAUGGGCGCAAGCCUGAUGCAGCCAUGCCGCGUGUAUGAAGAAGGCCUUCGGGUUGUAAAGUACUUUCAGCGAGGAGGAAGGCAUUAAGGUUAAUAACCUUAGUGAUGACG